AUACACUAUAUAUAUUCAAUUUCAAUAUAACUUGUAUAGCCUUAUGACUCCCUUCCAGAAUACUCUUACAAUUAUGAGACAGACUUUUUUUUCUUUCUUAAAAUAGGAAUUAGAAAAAGGAAUAUUUUUAAUGAAGGCAUUUGUCAGAUAGAUCAAUCUAACGUUGUCUCCAAAAAGGCAAUAACUGGGUCAAUAGGACAUUCAUCCUUCAACGAUAGAAUAUUUUAUCUACAUUUGUCAUCAUAUUUUACAGGGAUCCAGCAGAUACGGAAAAAGGGACAACACUUCGACUGAAUGUGUCAUCCAUAUACCGGUUCUUGUGAAAAGUGUUUUAUUUGGCACCAUUCAGCUACAAAUACCCAAUGUACUCUUUGCCGGUGGAAUUGUGACCUCAGUCAACUGCUCAUGACACUGCUAAAUGGCAGAGAAUUUUCUUCUGAGACAAGUAAAUUUUACACCUGCAGGUAGUGAUGAGUGCAACUGAAGUUUUUAUCAGGAUCUCGUCCGACAUCAUAGGUACAACUGGUCACUGUGAUUUCUUAAAUAAGAGGACAUAUUGUAAAGGCGCCUAGGCGGUUACAUAUGUACACGUAGCUCCAAAUGAUGCUUGACUGUUUUCCUUCGCUUUAUACGUAAACCUGGAUUGGUCUCUGAUGCAGUAAUAUAGAGCCAUGUCAUGUUUUAAAUCCAAUCUUCCCACUGUCACAAAGUGCUGUAAUAAAAUGAUUUUGAUUUAGAUA